GACGUAGGGGGCGAGCGUUGUCCGGAUUUAUUGGGCGUAAAGAGCUCGUAGGCGGUUCCGUAAGUCGGAUGUGAAAACUCAGGGCUCAACCCUGAGACGCCAUCUGAUACUGCGGUGACUAGAGUCCGGUAGGGGAGCAUGGAAUUCCUGGUGUAGCGGUGGAAUGCGCAGAUAUCAGGAGGAACACCAAUGGCGAAGGCAGUGCUCUGGGCCGGAACUGACGCUGAGGAGCGAAAGCAUGGGGAGCAAACAGG
rnacentral:rRNA from 1 species